rnacentral:pre_miRNA from 1 species
AUAAUACUCCCUCCGUCCGGAAUUACUUAUCAUCAAAAUGGAUGUGUCUAGAACUAAAAUACAUCUAGAUACAAUCAUUUCAAUGACAAGUAUUUUCGGACGGAGGGAGUAGUAG